GAUGAACGCUGGCGGCGUGCCUAAUACAUGCAAGUCGAGCGAACAGACGAGGAGCUUGCUCCUCUGACGUUAGCGGCGGACGGGUGAGUAACACGUGGAUAACCUACCUAUAAGACUGGGAUAACUUCGGGAAACCGGAGCUAAUACCGGAUAAUAUAUUGAACCGCAUGGUUCAAUAGUGAAAGACGGUUUUGCUGUCACUUAUAGAUGGAUCCGCGCCGCAUUAGCUAGUUGGUAAGGUAACGGCUUACCAAGGCAACGAUGCGUAGCCGACCUGAGAGGGUGAUCGGCCACACUGGAACUGAGACACGGUCCAGACUCCUACGGGAGGCAGCAGUAGGGAAUCUGCCGCAAUGGGCGAAAGCCUGACGGAGCAACGCCGCGUGAGUGAUGAAGGUCUUCGGAUCGUAAAACUCUGUUAUUAGGGAAGAACAAAUGUGUAAGUAACGAUGCACGUCUUGACGGUACCAAUCAGAAAGCCACGGCUAACUACGUG
rnacentral:rRNA from 1 species